rnacentral:tRNA from 5 species
CGGGGCGUAGCGCAGCUUGGUUUAGCGCGCCUGCCUUGGGAGCAGGAGGUCGGAGGUUCGAAUCCUCUCGCCCCGACCA